rnacentral:rRNA from 1 species
GAUGAACGCUGGCGGCGUGCCUAAUACAUGCAAGUCGAGCGAACGGACGAGAAUUUUGCUUUUCUGAUGUUAGCGGCGGACGGGUGAGUAACACGUGGAUAACCUACCUAUAAGACUGGUAUAACUUCGGGAAACCGGAGCUAAUACCGGAUAAUAUUUUGAACCGCAUGGUUCAAAAGUGAAAGACGGUCUUGCUGUCACUUAUAGAUGGAUCCGCGCUGCAUUAGCUAGUUGGUAAGGUAACGGCUUACCAAGGCAACGAUGCAUAGCCGACCUGAGAGUGUGAUCGGCCACACUGGAACUGAGACACGGUCCAGACUCCUACGGGAAGCAGCGGUAGGGAAUCUUCCGCAAUGGGCGAAAGCCUGACGGAGCAACGCCGAGUGAGUGAUGAAGGUCUUCGGAUCGUAAAACUCUGUUAUUAGGGAAGAACAUAUGUGUAAGUAACUGUGCACAUCUUGACGGUACCUAAUCAGAAAGCCACGGCUAACUACGUG